AUUGGCUCUCAAAAACUGGUUUCGAAGAAGGAAGUAUCCCUUCAUUAUUUUGCUUCCAACAUGGAAUCGGAGAAGGAGGAAAAGGAAAAGAGAGGGGCAUUAGUAAUUUUACCUAAACACACGUACUGGUUUGACUUUUGGGUGUUUAUCGUUUUUGACAUCGCCUUUUUCCUCGUAAUGUAUUUUGUAGUGCCCUAAACAUUAUUCCCGCUUCUUGCUGCUGUUCUAAACCUACAGUAAGCCAGCACUCUUAUCCCAAUUAAUAGCCUAUUUGAGCCAGAUGACUGCAUGCGAGUUAUACGACGAUGAAUCGAGGGGAACGCCUGGUUUGUGUGGGAUAGUUUGAUUAAGUCACGACGUCUUCCCUGGAGUUUGCUUUAACCAACUGCCCCCAGCUGACUUCAUUGUGUGCGGUUAUUUUCACGCCGAAUGUGCCUAUAAUGCUGAAGUGCAUCGUGUAAUGGAAUGAAGUAUUUUGACAUGGAGCAAGGUCUCCAAUACAAAAUCAUUAAUAUUUAUUUAGCUAUGCAAAAAAUUAAGUGUUCUGAUUCAUGAAAUGGGUUAAAAUAAAUACGGUUUUCUAAACUGGCA